UUAUGUCACCAGCUGCGAGUGCGUCCUCUUCUGUGUCACAGCUUGACUUUCUGGGAGAACUUCGUCGCCAAAUGCACAGUGCCAAUCCUAGUUUCAGCACAUGAUGGAUGGCAUGGAUUUAAGGUCUUUUUUGUUUGUGAUUUUAUAAUCAAGUUCUUGUCACAGCUGAAUGCUGUAAGAACCCUUUACUUGACUACCCAUUUGUGAUUUUGUAACUUCGGCACGUCAACUCACUACGUAUAUACAAGACAGAAUCAGAAUAUGUGUGACGCCUGUGUAGGUGUAAAUUGCAAUAUCUUACAUUAGGACUUAUAUUUAAGGAUUUAUUACGCUAUAUGCUUACUGAAUACUAGUACCAGUUUUGAUAAUUUAAAUGCAUGGUGACAUUUUUGUUGUAAAAAAACGAAGAAACUGAAGAAUUAUGAUAGAACCUACAUGAACCAACUAUUUUGUCCUUAUUUUCAGCCUUUUUC
rnacentral:lncRNA from 1 species